GCAUUAGCACAUUGGUUUAUUGAGUUUAUGGGUCACCUCAGACGUUGACAGUCACUGAAAUGAAAAUGAAAUUAAACAAAAUAAAAGCUAAUAAAAUGUUAAAACCUACAUCACCUCUGUGUGUCUAUUAGCUUUCAUGGUAUAGGCAUAUUAAAAUGCGUCACACUGAUCUGAAUCUUUGCGACAGCCAAUCAAAUCUGACCCAGACUGAAUCAACGCCAUUUUGAACAGAAUUACGCAACUCUCUUGGCACGUAUUUGGCCUCUUAAGUGUUGAGAGGUUACGGGUAACAGUCACAGGCAGGGUGAGCAGUGGUUAAAGCUUAUUGUAGCAUUGGCGCUUGGAAAAUAGGACAGUGGAGAAUUCUGACGUGUUCUGGUGCAUCGAAGCGCUGCCAACAUGCAACACCGCGACCUAAGCGAACAAAAAGAGUGGGUGUUUGUGACUUGACUCAUACGCUGUGUCAAUGUACAAAGCCCUUUAACAUCAAAAUGUUGACAUUAAAUCAAAGACUGGUGGGUUGUCUGGUGAAAUACAUUUAGAUAUUCAUGUACUUUCUCCACCACAGGUAAAGCAGCAACACCUGAGCAGACUCAGGCCUUCUGGCAAAAAGAUUUGGGCCUUAAAAUGGGUGAAAAUUGACAAUUUCUUAAUAAAAUCCUAAAAACAAACAAACACAUGACCAGAAAAAAAAGCCUACAACACAAAACUACCAAAGAACAAUUCCAGAAAAACAGCAACCAACUGAUAAACAAAACCCAGCAGUAACAAUGUAAGUAUUUACUGCUAAACACCAAACAAAGAGCUAAAGAGCUGUGGACGAUGAAUAAACAACAAUGCUGAAACACACAAAAAACAAACCACCUAAAUGACCAAAAAAGAGGGACAAAACUAAUACACAGAGCUAAUUAUACACCCAAAACUUAAAAGAACAAACAAACAAACAAACAAAAAAGAUGAAGUGAAAGAAUAAGAAAGCGCUGAAAACCAACGACCUUUACUCUACAACCAAUAGAAAUGACAUAAAUCUUACCCCAAAAAACAAAUAAACAGUGCUAAACUGCUACACAACAGGUAAUAGUGCCAAAGAACUACACAAAAAACAAUACACAGUGCUAAAAACUGCAGAGAAUAAAAAUGCCACAAAAAAAAUUAAACCACAGAAAAAAAUCCAAAACAACCAGUGACGAGUGACGAGAACAAUCCUGAAAAAUUCCCCAAAACUGACAUUAGGGCUGAAAAAAAAAAAGCCCUGUGGUUGGAUCUUAUUUCAAAGCUCUUUACGACACACUGCAAGCUGCAGGUCUACUAAUUUGACAUACUUUACAUGAAAUCAAAAUUUCGUUUCAUAACUGACUUUUUUUAUGAGAUUAGAUUAAAUAUAAAAUGAUGGCCUCUUAUUCUCAGGGUGACACAGCCACUUUAAUUGGUGCAACAUGUGCAGAGACCGCACACAGACCUUGCAGACCUACU
ensembl:lncRNA